AUCUAUAACCAUACCACCCUGAACGCGCCCAAUCUCAUCUGAUCUCGGGAGCUAGGCAGGGUCCAGCCUGGUUAGUACUUGGAUGGAGACUAUCUAGGAAUGCUGGAUGCUGUAGGCU
rnacentral:rRNA from 1 species